CUGUCAAAAUGUUGUAUACUAGUAAAAGUAAUUCUCUGAAGCUAAAUUUUGUAUUCUAGUAAAAGUAAUUUUUAGAAGUUAAAUUAAAUAGGAAUCCCUGCUCAUAUAGAUAUGGAUUAGUGAUACAUGUAUACAGACAUACAUAUUACACUAUGUGAAUAUCGUAUGACCAACCGUUAGUGAAUCACCUUGCCAUAGCCAUAAGAGCCAUAGACCAAACCAUAUCCAUUUCUAUCGCCCAAUUUGCGCGUGACUUUGAUGUAUCUGUAUUUGGGGAGUAUAUAUGCAUAUACCUAGCUGUAUACUGUAUACUUGUAUAUAUCUAUCAGGGCUACAGGGCAACAGAACCGUGUGUCUUGUGCUGAAUAUUUAAUAGGAUGUCAACUUAUUUCUUAUCAAGAGAGAAAGAGAAAUAGAGAAAAGAGAGCCAUGCUUACUAUGUGGAUGUCUUGUUGACUGUGUGUGGGUGGGUGUGAAGGUGAGAAGAUAUAUAAUGAGGCUGAUAGAGCUAAUCAAGCAGCAGCAAAGCCUGAUAGCGCUAUGCUCAACAGCUGAAGGGCGUGUCGAGCUCAAUUGACCAACGAGUGGGCGUAACGCUAAUGAUUUGGGGCAUACACGACUGACCAUAUAUAAAGCAAAUGAAUUUCGGCUACUCGAAAAUAGAUGGUUGGCGCAAGUGAAACGAAACUCCAGAAAGGUUAUAUUCUAAACCAAUAUAUAAGAUAUAUAGAAUUUGUAACAUGUUUAAAAAGUGAAAUUAUUUGUUUGAGAAAGUGAAUUGAAUAUUUUAUAAAUAUUAUUUUGGGCAAAUUUUGUUAAUCUCGUAAGUUCUGUUCAAAUAAAAAUGUUGAAUAUA